rnacentral:rRNA from 1 species
CAGCCGCCACGGUAAUACGAAGGGUGCAAGCGUUAAUCGGAAUUACUGGGCGUAAAGCGUGCGUAGGCGGUGAGUUAAGUCUGCUGUGAAAUCCCCGGGCUCAACCUGGGAAUGGCAGUGGAUACUGGCUCGCUAGAGUGUGUCAGAGGAUGGUGGAAUUCCCGGUGUAGCGGUGAAAUGCGUAGAGAUCGGGAGGAACAUCAGUGGCGAAGGCGGCCAUCUGGGACAACGCUGACGCUGAGGCACGAAAGCGUGGGGAGCAAACAGGAUUAGAUACCCGCGUAGUCCCUGUCUCUUAUAC